UGAACUUUGUCAGAGGCCCAAAGGAUCAAACUUGGGGACACAAUUUAUGCAGAAAGCUCUGAUACCCGAAACCGGAAAUUGAAAGAGACCAAACAGUGUACUCAUGAUAUCGAAUUUCUAUGUUCUAAUAGGACUUAUCUAAAACAUAACGAUAUAAAAAUCAUUUAAAAAUCUAUAUGUAACAUAAGUGAAAUGGAAUCUGAGAAAAAAUCUGCCAUUUCAAUAGGUUUAUAUUAGAUCUCGUGUUGUGGCAGAAAAGCUGGAUGGGAAUGGGACCAGUUCCCAUUCGGACUGGUUGAUUUUAAGACUAAGCUUAGCAUAUCUGCUUACUUUGGUGGUGUAGGGCAUGUUGUUAACUUCGGGCCAAGUCAAGUUCUCUCCACCUUUCCCACUUUCUCGAAUCCGCAUAUGUAUCACCCUUAGCUGAUCGAGGACAUCGGUAUUUUCUCCAAGAAACUUGAUGAGCCAGGUCAGAGCAGCAGUUGUCGUGUCAUGCCCGGCAACUAGAAGAGUAAGUACGUUGUCCUUCAAUUGUUUGUCUGUGAGCUUAUCUUCGUUGGCUUUUUCAUCCAUUCCUUUGCUGUGUUUCAUUAUUAGGGACUCUAGGAAAUCAUCCCGGAACUCGUUCCCGCUCCUCCUCAUGGAAAUUACGGAGUCCAACAUGUCAUACAUCCUAUCGCGAGCCUGACACGUUGGUUCGCUUUCAGAUGGUUUGUCAUUUAUACACAUCUCUCCCAGAAUAAACUAGAGCUUGCAAAAACUAACCUUUAUGCCACGAUGAAAGGCUGUUCCUGGUAUUUUAAACGGUAGGGAUGCAAACGAUGAAGAGAUGAUCUUGAAGUUGGCCCGGAACUUCUCUUGCUCCUCUCCACUGGGCUCCAAGCUCAUUAUCAUGUGGCCGAUCACUUUCAAGGUAAACUGCAAAAUCAUGAGAUCCAAUUGUUACGUAUCUGGGGAAACUGAACAGACAGUAAUUCUCUGUUUUUGAUACUUAACUGUAGAGGCCUCUUCAAGGACCAGAAUUUUCCGUCCCGACCACUGAUCUAAUGUUUCAAUUGCGAGGUUGUUUAUGAACUGGAAGUACUUCUUCAAUCCAUCAACUGAUAGCGGUUCAGCUAUAAGCCUCCGAAGCCGCUUGUGCUCUUCUCCUGUAGUCUGAAGCAAGCUGGUUGGGCCAAGGACCUGCUGUCCCGUGUAGAAUAGAUUUAGGCUCACCAACCCAUCUUUUCCCGUUAACAAGAUCUUGCUUGCUUCUCUACCAGUCAUGAAUAUCGUGUACCUUCCUAGGACGAAUGACUUGAACACCUUUCCGUACCUACAGUUGAAAAGUAUCGGUGACCCUUCGUCGCCAGAUGACGUGACAAAAGCACCAAUAGCAGUGCAGCAUAGGGAAAUGGCAUAAACCAAACUGUGAAAAAGGACUGUCGAAAUAUUUUCAUUUCAUUAAAGUUUUGUUUAUGGACUGGGAUUAAGAUUACCUCUGCUGCCUCUUCUUCAUGAAACUGUAAAUACCCGAUGGGCUUGAAAAGUCUGACAAGAAAGAGAAGCUCUCGCCGACAAUAGGCCAUCCCAAGGUCCCGGGAAUCACCUCCAUUUCUUUUGGUGAAGUCCAUACACGCAGAAACAGUGCUGAAACCACAAAGAUGAAUAGCAGCGCUAGACCAAGAAUGACUCCGAACUCCAUUGCAGUUCUUUAAGCUAAGAAACACACUUGAAACGAUAUGUCUUGAGGCGUGAUCCCGAUAUUUAAUUCUGA